UACAGAGGAGCCAAGCGUUGUCCGGAUUGACUGGGCGUAAAGCGCACGCAGGCGGUCGGGCGCGUGGGGUGUGAAAUCUGGCCGCUUAACGGCCAGGCGCCAUCCCAUACGGCUCGACUGGAGUGAUGCAGAGGUCGAUGGAAUUGCCGGUGUAGUGGUGAAAUGCGUAGAGAUCGGCAGGAACACCCAGGGGGAAACCAGUGGACUGGCACGGAGCUGACGCUCAGGUGCGAAAGCGUGGGGAGCGAACCGG
rnacentral:rRNA from 1 species